GGCGAACGGGUGAGUAAUACAUCGGAACAUGUCCUGUAGUGGGGGAUAGCCCGGCGAAAGCCGGAUUAAUACCGCAUACGAUCUACGGAUGAAAGCGGGGGACCUUCGGGCCUCGCGCUAUAGGGUUGGCCGAUGGCUGAUUAGCUAGUUGGUGGGGUAAAGGCCUACCAAGGCGACGAUCAGUAGCUGGUCUGAGAGGACGACCAGCCACACUGGGACUGAGACACGGCCCAGACUCCUACGGGAGGCAGCAGUGGGGAAUUUUGGACAAUGGGCGAAAGCCUGAUCCAGCAAUGCCGCGUGUGUGAAGAAGGCCUUCGGGUUGUAAAGCACUUUUGUCCGGAAAGAAAUCCUUGGCUCUAAUACAGCCGGGGGAUGACGGUACCGGAAGAAUAAGCACCGGCUAACUACGUGCCAGCAGCCGCGGUAAUACGUAGGGUGCGAGCGUUAAUCGGAAUUACUGGGCGUAAAGCGUGCGCAGGCGGUUUGCUAAGACCGAUGUGAAAUCCCCGGGCUCAACCUGGGAACUGCAUUGGUGACUGGCAGGCUAGAGUAUGGCAGA
rnacentral:rRNA from 1 species